CCUAGUGGAAGGAACACUGGAACGAUGGAAGUUGGAACCAACCACGGGCCGGCGCCUCAGUUUGGCUGGAAGUGAGGUAUGGGUCAUUACGCUUUCCUCUCCAAGCAAGCCCCGUAAAACAGUGUCUACCAGCACUUCAAGCUUGCUGUUGAAAAGACUCCGUGAUGCCUAGCUGGUGUCAAGUUCCGAAAUGCUGGGGAAACAAACCCUCAGGAGCCCGGCCCAAAAGGUGGAUGUUUUCCUUCCCCGAAGACGAGGAACUGUCGAGGGCAUGGCUGCGCGCGAUCAUGAAGGAAGACUACACCCCGAACAGCAGUAGCAGGGUCUGUGAGUUGCAUUUUCGACCUGAAGAUAUCAAGGGCAAGGUGACGAGGGAAUCUUUGGCCAGAGAGCGGCGUCCUCAUCUCCAACAUGGCGCUGUUCCUUCCCUGGUCCUGACCUGGCCUGGUGAUUCAUCUGGCCCAGCCCCUGCUGGUGAAAGCCCUGACAAGAAUCAAUCUACUAAGCAGGUUACAAUGGAGAAGAAUGCAGUUCAUAAGGAAAAUUGCACGCAAAAAAAGGGACUUCAUAAUUUAGCAGAACUUAAGGAAAUGUUGACCUCCAUUGAUAAAUACUGGACUGUGAUUGAUAAUGAAGAAAUUGUACAUAUUUGCCAUGUUGCCCAUUCACCACAGCCUAGAGUUGUUGUAUCUGUGGUCUUCAAGCCUGACUCUUCUCUGUUUGCCUAUGUACAGGGCACUAGGGUUGAUAGGCUGGGAGAGUAUCAUAUUCCUUCAGAGAUUAAAAACAUCAGUACACUUGAAGAGUUGCUCAGCAACCUGCGCAUGUGUGACAUCGAGCCUCACGCCUCCAGUCAGCCUAGCGGAAUGCCAUACUUCUCACCUCUUGCGCCAAACCAAAAAUUGUGUAAUAACUGUACAGGAAAGAGAGGAAACCUCAAACUUUGGAUAAGCGACUCGUGAAAUGGGAGUGCUGAUUGUGAAAGAGUACAAAAUAUUUAGGUAUCAUUCAUAGAAGUUAAUGAAAAUGUAUGUUUAAAGUGUUUGUUUUUAUCAUUAUCAUUUUAAGAAAUAAAGUCAGUAUGGUUCUGUUUUUUCCUUGAAAGCAAGCAUUAAGGCAGCGUCCUGUUUUCAUCAGCAAAGAGUCUAAUGCAGGGCUACUCAAGUGGCGGCCCGCGUUCCGAAUUCGGACCUUUUGAGUGUUGUAGCUGGACCCCAGGUUCCAGGAGCAGAAAAAUGUAAUCAUAUAACAGGAAAUUCCUGACGAUGAAUUCUUGCAAAUGUAUUUCCUUGACUGACUGUAGGGUAGGAUCGGGAUCUAUUGCUCACAUGUAUUAACCUACAAAGGCUCCCAGGGCCUUUAAUAUAAGUUUAUAAUAAUAUCCAUGUAAUAGCAAAUUUAGCUUUUCUCAGGGAAUGAGCAUAACACAAAACAGCAAGAAUUUUUUGAUUUUUCCCAUUACGAAUUUCUGUUUACAAAUUGUUAGUUGAGAAGAAAACUCCAAAUCUUGUUCUGUUUUAGAAGUGAAACAUUUCUUACUAAAGCGGCCUGACAUUAAACAGAAAAUAUUUCUUGAUUUUUCCAUUUGAAAGCAUUGCAUUUUAUUUUCUGAGAAGAAAAGUUAAAAUCCAGGUAUGUUUUGAAAGUAUAGCAUUUGUUAAUAAAGUAGCAUAACAUAAAACAGUAAAUAUAU